rnacentral:rRNA from 1 species
GAUGAACGCUAGCGGCAGGCCUAACACAUGCAAGUCGAGGGAUAAGCCUUCGGGCUAAGACCGGCGCACGGGGGCGUAACGCGUAUACAAACUGCCGUUUAUCCCGGGGAAAGCCCGAAGAAAUUUGGGUUAAUACCCUAUAGUAUAAGAGCACGGCAUCGUGCACUUAUGAAAGCUAGGGCGGUAAAAGGUGAGUGUGCGUUCUAUCAGCUAGUUGGCGAGGUACCGGCUCCCCAAGGCGACGAUAGUUAGGGGUUCUGAGGGGGAGGGCCCCCACAGUGGUACUGAGAUACGGACCAGUGUCCUACGGGAGGCAGCAGUGAGGGAUAUUGGACAGUGGUCGGUAGACUGAUCCAGCGAUGCCGCGUGCAGGAUGACGGCCUUAUGGGUUGUAACCUGCUGUUGUAAGGGAGGAAUAAGGAGUACGUGUACUUUGAUGACGGUACCUGACGAAUAAGCAUCGGCUAACUCCGUG